AGCCCGAGGCAGAAGGGGGCAGAGGCCGGGCAGGCGGGCAUCCCUCGGUGGGCCCCUCCGAGGGGACGUGGCCUGUAGGUGCUCUGCUCCUAGCGCACGUGGAAGGCGGAGCCAGCGGCCCCUUUCCAGCCGGGUCUUGGCCCCCAGCAGAGGAAGUGUGGCCCACUGUGCCUCGUUUGUCUAGGGAAGACAGGAAGGCCCCGAAAACAGAGGCUCGGCCCCCCUCCCCACCUUGCCUGGCCUGCCAGUGCCCGCCCUGCCCGUGGCAGAGGGGCAGCUUAGGGGUGGCCAGUGGAGGCUCCCCCUGGGUGCUCGUCCAUCUGGCCCCUGGGGCGGGCGGCCAGGACCCCCCAAGUCCAGCCGCUCACCAUCAGCUCCUGAGCACCCCCCACCAAGCACUGCCCUCCUCCUUGGAAAUUCCAGAGCGGGACAGGCAACUCCCAGAGGCUGGGGGCAGCCUGGCGCUUCUGCUCGGACAGAGCUGAGAAGGUGGGCGAGCCAGCCGGCCUGGGGCCGAGGGGGGGGUGCUGAGGCCGGGGCUCCCCUGCCUGAGAGCGCCGAGAUUCCCAGCUGGCCCCCCUCUGGCAUGGCUCACUUGGUGACCUCGAAGGAGGGAAUGGCUGCUCUGGGCUCUCCGUGGGCUCAUCUGUCCAGUCCUGAGAGCUUCAGCGGCGGCUCUGGCCGAGGCUCGCCUCGGGGUCCCCCGAGCACGGCCAGGCACAGAGGCUGAGGAGCAGCCCCCACUGGGGAGACAUGCCGGGGCAGCCCGCCGGCCCUGCUCCCCUUCUCCCCAGGCUGCUGGCCGCCCCAUUGCUGGAGGCAGCCUGCCAGGGAAUGGGGAGGGAACGGGGCCUCGUUCCCCUUGGGGGGCCCCUGAUGAAACGUGGGAGUGGCGGGACUCCCCGAGGCUCCCUCCCAGGCCGCCACUGGCCAGACUCGCUGCCAGCCUCCAGGCUGUCCUCUUGCCGAUGGGCCCGGCCGCUGCUCGGAGCAGCCCGGCCCACUUCGGCUCCUGAAUUGUCCCCAACAAAAUGGCCGAAGGAGGACUGGCGAGACCUGCUAUGGCGGCCCCAGCAAGAAUCCCCCCCCUCCCCCCCCAGCUCCAGGGAGACCUUCCCGAGGCAGGGGCGCUCGAGCUGGGCUUUCAGGAGAGGCCGGAGCGCAGUGAGCGCAGAAGCAGGGCCCGGACGCAAGGGAUGCUGGGAAAUGUGCCCGAGCAGGAACCGGAGGCAGAGGGCGGCUUGUGAUCAUUAGCACCAUUAGGGAGGCAGCCCCUGGGGCCAGCGGAAGGAGGCUGGGCAGCCGGAGAAUGGAGGCCCAGUUGUCUGCCUGGGGCCCAUGGCUUGAGUGCUACCAAGGGACAGAGAGGCUCCAGGCAGCCCGGAACUGCUCCAUGUCUGGGGAACAGGCACGGCGGAGGAGGAGGGGGAGAGGCAGCAGCAGAGCUCCCCAAGGAGUGGAGGUGGGGUGGAUCUCUGAGGCCCGCCCCAGGCGGGGGCAGUGGCUGCAGACGGGCAGGGGAUGCACCUGCUCAAGGACCACUCGAGGCUCCCUAUCUCCUCUCCGCCAAGCCCAGUGUGGCACACAGCUCCGUCCCGCCGGCUGGUUCCUUCUCCUGCCCCCCACCCCGUGCCUGCAAAUGGGAGGGGGGGUCAGAGGAGACGGGAGGGUGGCUUGGCCAGCGCCCGGAGCGGCCCCAGCAGGGCCAUCCCUGGCCGGCCGAAGGGCUCUGAGAGGGGCUUGGGCCUGGCCCCUCCCAGGCCCUGACUGAAGGACGGGGAUGUGAGUCAUGGCCGGGGAACAAAGAGGGGAAGAGAACAGCUUGGGAAGGUGACCCGAUGCGCACUCAGGAGGCCAGGUGGCUGGCAGAGCGGGAGGGCAGCUGAGGAAGGCAUCCUGGGGAAACUGAGGCAGCGUGGCUGCGAGGCCAGGCUGCUGCUGUGGCCCCGGAGCUACGUGGGCGAUGGCCGAGGACGGACAGCACCCCCCAUUCGGGUGAUGGGGUGUCUACACCACUCAUCUGCGAAUGGCCCUGGCCUGGGCUCCGGCUGGGAGGGCGCUCACGGCGGCUCGGCACCCCCUCCUGCUUUCCAUGAUUCAUGCUGCUAAAAGGAACCAGGACUGGGCCACAGCCAGCCCCACUCCAUCUCCUGCCCGCCUGGGGCAGGGGGAGGGGGAGAGCAGAGAGAGACAGCAGAGAGGGGGCAGAGACAGAGAGCACAGAGGAGAGAGACAGCUGGGGGAGGAGAGACAGAGACAGAGAUGGAGAACAGAAGAGACAGCUGGGGGAAGAGAGACAGAGACAGAGAUGGAGAACAGAAGAGACAGCUGGGGGGGAAGAGAGACAGAGACAGAGAUGGAGAGACAGCUAGGGGGAAGAGAGACAGAGACAGAGAUGGAGAGACAGCUGGGGGAGAAGAGAGACAGAGAGAGAUGGAGAACAGAGGAGAGACAGUUGGGGGAGAAGAGAGACAGAGAGAGAUGGAGAACAGAGGAGAGAGACAGUUGGGGGAGAAGAGAGACAGAGACAGAGAUGGAGAGACAGCUGGGGGAGAAGAGAGACAGAGAGAGAUGGAGAACAGAGGAGAGACAGUUGGGGGAGAAGAGAGACAGAGAGAGAUGGAGAACAGAGGAGAGAGACAGUUGGGGGAGAAGAGAGACAGAGACAGAGAUGGAGAGACAGCUGGGGGAGAAGAGAGACAGAGAGAGAUGGAGAACAGAGGAGAGACAGUUGGGGGAGAAGAGAGACAGAGAGAGAUGGAGAACAGAGGAGAGAGACAGUUGGGGGAGAAGAGAGACAGAGACAGAGAUGGAGAGACAGCUAGGGGGAAGAGAGACAGAGAUGGAGAGACAGCUGGGGGAGAAGAGAGACAGAGAGAGAUGGAGAACAGAGGAGAGACAGUUGGGGGAGAAGAGAGACAGAGAGAGAUGGAGAACAGAGGAGAGAGACAGUUGGGGAGAAGAGAGACAGAGACAGAGAUGGAGAGACAGCUGGGGGAGAAGAGAGACAGAGAGAGAUGGAGAACAGAGGAGAGAGUUGGAGGAGAAGAGAGACAGAGACAGAGAUGGAGAGACAGCUAGGGGGAAGAGAGACAGAGACAGAGAUGGAGAGACAGCUGGGGGAGAAGAGAGACAGAGAGAGAUGGAGAACAGAGGAGAGACAGUUGGAGGAGAAGAGAGACAGAGACAGAGAUGGAGAGACAGCUGGGGGGAAGAGAGACAGAGACAGAGAUGGAGAACAGAAGAGACAGCUGGAGAAGAGAGACAGAGACAGAUGGAGACAGAAGAGAGGGCAGCAUCAAGGGAGCAGAACCGAGGGGGAGAACAGAGACAGACAAGACUAGAGGACAGAGACGGAGAGGCUCGAGAGAGCUGAGAGAAAGCCUGAGAGGGGGAGAUAGGCAGAGACGUCUUCCCGCUCCCGCUCUGCCUGGGUGGGGCCUCUGGAGAUGGGUGGGGUGCGGACAGCUCCCCGGCCUGGGCCUGGAGCCUCCCUCCAUCCGGGCAUGUGGGCCGCCCUUCCACCCCAGCCCCUGCCCUUCGCAGACCGACCCACCCCACAGAUGGAUUCUGGACGUCCCCACCCAGAUGAGCUCAGCCUCCUCCUCCUCCUCCUCCUCCUCCUCCGCUCCCCAGGCCUGGACGCGCUUUAUCAGGAGCUCCUGCCUUGGCUGCCCGCGAGGGCCCUCCCUGCUGCCGGCUCCCACCAGCGGCUGGAGGGCCGCUCAGGCGAGCCAGCCCCACUCUCGGGCGCGCCGGCUGGGCGCGCCGGCUGGGCGCGCGGCUCCCCCGUAGGGCGGGGAGAUGCCCGGAGCGCUGGUCCUCCCCCGCUUCUCCUUCCCCAGGGCUCCGCGGGGCACCUUCCCGCCCCCGUCUUUGCUCUCGGCCCCCCUCUGGGCCGGAGCGUCGGAGCCGGCCGGACCCACUUCCAGACUUCUCGAGCAGGCCCUGUGCCGAGGCGGGGCUCGGGGUGGGAGAGCUUCUCCCUGCCUCGGCUCUGCUUGGCACCCCGGGGAGACCCGAGGGGGACUUCGGGCACUUGGUGGCAGUUUCCAGGGUCAAGGACAGCGUGGGUGGCAGAGCGAGCCGACGUCACUUAUAAGAAUAGAAUUAGGGCGGCCCCUUCGGCUCUGCCCUCGCUUACAGUUCGCUGGGGCUCGGGGGAGGCAGGGAGGCAGGGCCGCCCCAGGAAGCCGGUGGUGAUCCUCUCCGGGAGGCAGGAGGCCAGGCCUUGAGAAAGGGGGCUUCGUGGGAGCGGCCCGAGGCACAGUGGCCGGUGCCCAGGGCCCACUCGCCGAGGGAGUCAAUUCGGGCCAGGGGCUGGGCAUAGAGAUCAUCGGCACCCUGCAGCUGGUGCUCUGCGUCCUGGCCACCACGGACCGCAGGCGCCACGACAUCACGGGCUCCGCUCCACUGGCCA